CCAAGUGCACUAAGAGUCAAGUGCCUAGAGUGUCAGACUCACGGGGCUUGUCACACAGUGCAUUAUAGGAUUACUGGAGGCCAGGACUUGUUUUCCCAGCCUCCAGAUCCACAGAUCCUGGGAGCAGUGUGGAUCAUGUGAGUGUACAACAGUGCACUGAAGGGGAGAGCCUCAACCAUCUGGAGCUGCCCUCCCUGCUCAACUACUGGUCAUGAGAACAACCUUAAAAUAUCUUUGCCAGCUGCUAGAUAGCACAUAUCUAAUCCGUCCUUCAUCCUAUCUGAUAUUUUGGACGGGCAUCCCAGCUUUGUAGAGGCAGAAGAUGAGAUUUCAAAAGUGUGAAAAAAAUGAUGAUGUGCAAAGCUACCCCUCGUUUGCAUCAGCUGAGGAAUAAAAGGAAGAGAAGAGAAGGCAUCUGUACAGGAAAUGAAGAGACGAGGAAACAUUUCAUAGCCGAGCAAUUCAAGGAACCUGAGUAGACAUGAAAAAAGUAGGUUGUGUACUUAUGUCCAGUGCCAAUUCCUGAAUGUGUGUGACCCAAGGAAAAUGUUAUCAAUUUGUCAGUUCACCUGGUUUAUUUAAAAUGGGAGUGAUACAUCUGACCUUAGAGCUGUUACAAGACAGCAGUCAUUGUAAAGUACUUUGAGUCUUCAGAGAAGAAGUGGCAGUGAUGGAAAUGGACUACACAUUUUGCCUGGAACUCUUAACUAGGGGUGUUCAAGCCCCACCCGCUUCAUUCUGAAGAAUUCAUUCAUUGUCAUUGAAUAUCUUUAUUUUAAAAUUGUGUUGAUUUUAGUUUGGGUUCAUUGUGGCUGCAGUUUGCUUUGUGAUAGACAGCAACUUGUUUUUUGUUAACCUAUUCAUUUCUAGAUGAAUUUGCUCCUUUAAAUGGUUAGAGGAAGGGAAAAGCAGCGUGUGUAUGUGUGUGCGUGUGGGGGAGCCCAUCACUCUACCAUGUUGCAAGCUAAGUCUCCUAUUCCAAAACUGAGCAGAAGUCCCAACAGCCCAAUUCAGGAUGUCUCUAUAUUUGUCUCCAAAUGAAUGAAAAAAUGGACAAAAUGGGCCCUGUUCAUGUGUCCAUUCCUUCUGAAACAAAUGUUUCUGUUCUAAAGCGUAGAUCAACAUGGGCAAAAGCUUAGUGCAUAGGUAGGUGGAGAAAGUUCAGAUCUAGAGAUAAACUAGUGAAGUUGAUAAAGUUUGUUCUUAGGAAAUCAGGUCACUUGGAAUUAAAAAUAUGCAAAAAUAGAUUUUGAAAUCUGGCCAAAAGACAAAAUUUAUUUGCCCAAAGACUGCAUAAAUAGACACUGCAAAUGUGUUGUUUAGUUAUCCAAUUUCUAGAAGUCAGUAUCUAAAGCUGAAUCCAAGGGCCUAGGCAGCUGAUGUUAAAUUUCCAUUUAACACAAGC